rnacentral:rRNA from 1 species
GACAGAGGGUGCAAACGUUGUUCGGAAUUACUGGGCGUAAAGCGUGUGUAGGCGGCCACGUAAGUCGGAUGUGAAAGCCCCGGGCUCAACCCGGGAAGUGCAUUCGAUACUGCGUGGCUUGAGUAUCGGAGAGGUUGGUGGAAUUCUCGGUGUAGAGGUGAAAUUCGUAGAUAUCGAGAGGAACACCGGUGGCGAAGGCGGCCAACUGGACGAAUACUGACGCUGAGACACGAAAGCGUGGGGAGCAAACAGG